rnacentral:tRNA from 1 species
GACAUAGCCAAGCGGUAAGGCAGGGGACUUUGACUCCCCAAUGCGCGAGUUCGAACCUCGCUGUCCCAGCCA